rnacentral:rRNA from 1 species
UACGUAGGGGGCGAGCGUUGUCCGGAAUCAUUGGGCGUAAAGCGCGUGUAGGCGGCCCGGUAAGUCCGCUGUGAAAGUCCAGGGCUCAACCCUGGGAUGCCGGUCGAUACUGCCGGACUAGAGUUCGGAAGAGGCGAGUGGAAUUCCCCGGUGUAGCGGUGAAAUGCGCAGAUAUCGGGAGGAACACCUAUGGCGAAGGCAGCUCGCUGGGACGUUACUGACGCUGAGACGCGAAAGCGUGGGGAGCAAACAGG